rnacentral:rRNA from 1 species
GCUUACACAUGCAGUCGUGCGAGAAAGUAUCUUCGGAUAUGAGUAGAGCGGCGGACGGGUGAGUAACGCGUAGGAAUCUACCUAGUAGAAGGGGAUAGCCCGGGGAAACCCGGAUUAAUACCGUAUACCUCCUUCGGGAGAAAGAAGGCCUCUCUUUGAAGCUUUCGCUACUAGAUGAGCCUGCGUAAGAUUAGCUUGUUGGUGAGGUAAAGGCUCACCAAGGCAACGAUCUUUAGCUGGUCUGAGAGGACGAUCAGCCACAUUGGGACUGAGACACGGCCCAGACUCCUACGGGAGGCAGCAGUGGGGAAUAUUGGACAAUGGGCGCAAGCCUGAUCCAGCCAUACCGCGUGUGUGAAGAAGGCCUUCGGGUUGUAAAGCACUUUAAGCAGGGAGAAAAAGUUAUAAGUUAAUACCUUAUAGCCUUGAUGUUACCUGCAGAAUAAGCACCGGCUAAUUCCGUGCCAGCAGCCGCGGUAAUACGGAAGGUGCAAGCGUUAAUCGGAAUUACUGGGCGUAAAGCGCGCGUAGGUGGUUUGUUAAGUUGGAUGUGAAAGCCCUGGGCUCAACCUAGGAACUGCAUCCAAAACUAACUCACUAGAGUACGAUAGAGGGAGGUAGAAUUCGUAGUGUAGCGGUGGAAUGCGUAGAUAUUAUGAAGAAUACCAGUGGCGAAGGCGGCCUCCUGGAUCUGUACUGACACUGAGGUGCGAAAGCGUGGGUAGCGAACAGGAUUAGAUACCCUGGUAGUCCACGCCGUAAACGAUGACAACUAGCUGU